CUCGAGGCUGCAACAAUGUUUAUGAAUCUCCUUGCAAGCAUAUGGACCCUGCUGUUUUUGAUUCUGUCGGGCGCUCUUGCUGCUGACUGGAUAGUGCAUGUUCCCAUGGAUCCAGUCUAUACUCCUCUUGGUUCUUCUGUAGUUCUGCAGUGCACCUAUGACUACCCUGAGGAGUCCGACCAGGGAAUACUGCGCAAAGUGCUGUCAGAGAUGUGGUGUCUGAAUGAAAGCCGCUGCAUUACUCCAAGAUACGUGUACCACAGUGCAGGGAUAUUCCCUGAGCCCUCAUACCAGGGCCGAGUCAAGUACUUGGGGCAGACGGGGAGCAAAAAUUGCUCUCUGAUGAUUUCUGAUGUGAGGUCAGAAGACAGCGGCGUGUACAUGUUCCGGUUCAUCACCGACCAUCUGAAGGCCAAGCUACCAGGACAGAAAGGAGUGAAUCUACAGGUCACAAAUCAGACAGAAACAAGGAGUGCAUCUUCAUUCACUACUGGCAUUGUGCUUGGAAUUAUUAUCAUGGUUAUCAUAAUAGCAGGCAUUGUGAUAGUCAUCAGAAGGAAGUCACGGGGAGAGAGGUCAAGACCACUUUAAACAAGUUAUUACCACAGAGGAUGAAAAAAACGUGUGACUCUGAUCAAAACAGAGAUGUAAACCAAUAGUUCUGCUUUUUUCUGGUUUGUGUGCUACAUUUUACAUUCAUUUAUGCAUUUUUUGCAUCCAUCACAGUCUAUUAUUUAUCUAUUUAAAUUAUUUUCUGCAUAUCAAACGGCACAAUGUUUCAUUCAUAUUUUAUUUCACCUUUAGUAUUAUCGUAUUGUAUCUUACAUUUUGCAAGUCACUGCUGCUGUGUUGCAUAUCAGGGUGAACACUGUCCUCAGCCACUGAACUAGAGACUGAACAACACGUUUUCUUCACAGAGUCUGUAAAAAGAGACAAUAAUGGUUAUGUUUAGAAAGUGAGUCAUUUAUUAUGCCAGCAGGAAAGAUACAGUGGAUUCUCACAUUGUAAAUCAUAGAAAAUUGCCUCUUGUUCUAUCCUCAAUUUUAAUUAAAAAAAGCACUUGGUAUUGUUUAUAAUCACCUCACAAAUGAAAAAACAUUCAUUAAGGGAACAGGUCACCCUAUAAAAAACAUGAUUAUCAAUCUGUUGUUAUUUACUCACCCUUGAAUCUGUAAAGAAUCUUCACACAGUUCCAGGUUGUUAAAAAACAACAACAAUGAAUUUCCCAUGUGGUCUCUGUAUUCUGAAAUGCCAAUAAUGCCAAAAAUAUGCAUAAAGCUAUUGUUUUUCUGUUUUUAUUUUUUGGUAUGAUGUGACCA
rnacentral:lncRNA from 1 species